rnacentral:lncRNA from 1 species
AAGAGAACAACCCAGAAAGAGUCAGGUGGUCUGCUCUCUCUUGACUUGAAACUUCUGGAGAAGAGGUCAAUCUCUGACUGCAUCCUGAUCCAAGAACUCUUUACUUCCCUGAACCUGAUCACAAUCCUCCCAAACCAAUGAGUGGACAGAGAAUUGGAGAGAAAAGGAAUCCAUAAGAAGACUUAAUCCCAAUCUCCCUUUUUCCCUGAACUUGGGACUUCUGCUGUGAGGUGUCAAAGCCAGGGGUCAACACUCUGAACCUUUCAGGGAUUCAGGCCACCAGCUGUUGAGGCAUCUAGAUGACCCAUCGAAUGGAAACCUGGUCCUGGAGUCAGGAAGAUUCAAGUUUAAAUAUGUCCUCAGCAAGCGGAGCCCAUGAGAACCCAAGAAACACUUGUUCUUCUCCUGUCUAACCCAUCCGACUUUAAAUUG